GGCGAACGGGUGAGUAACACGUGAGCAAUCUGGCCUGGACUCUGGGAUAACCCCGAGAAAUCGGAGCUAAUACCGGAUACGACACCUCCCGGCAUCGGGUGGGUGUGGAUAGAAUUUCGGUCCAGGAUGAGCUCGCGGCCUAUCAGCUUGUUGGUCAGGUAACGGCUCACCAAGGCGACGACCGGUAGCCGGCCUGAGAGGGUGACCGGCCACACUGGGACUGAGACACGGCCCAGACUCCUACGCGAGGCAGCAGUGGGGAAUAUUGCACAAUGGGCGCAAGCCUGAUCAGCAAACGCCGCGUGGCGGACGACGGCCUUCGGGUUGUAAACCUCUUUUAGUAGGGAACAAGCGCAAGUGACGGUACCUACAGAAUAAAGCACCAGCUAACUACGUGCCAGCAGCCGCGGUAAUACGUAGGGUGCAAGCGUUGUCCAGGAAUUAUUGGGCGUAAAGAGCUCGUAGCGGUUUGUCGCGUACUGCUGUGAAAAUCCGAGGCUCAACCUCGGACCUGCAGUGGGUACGGGCAAACUAGAGUGCGGUAGGGGAGAUUGGAAUUCCCAUGGUUGUAGCGGGUGGGAAUGCGCUAAGAAUAUCACGGAGGAAACCACCAAUUGGCGCAAAAGGCAGAAUCU
rnacentral:rRNA from 1 species